UGAAGACAUCCCUGGAAAGCAAGAGGUUCAUGGCAGCCCUGGAAAAAAGGUUCUUGGUGCUUCUUGCAGUGCUUCUGGUUGGCUUUUACUAUGGGAUCCUGCUGGCAGCGUGGAGGAUGCAGGCUAAGGGAGACGACCAGGGAGCGUUGGAGAUGAGUUUAGAAGA